rnacentral:rRNA from 1 species
AGUGAACGCUGGCGGUAGGCCUAACACAUGCAAGUCGAACGGCAGCACAGUAAGAGCUUGCUCUUACGGGUGGCGAGUGGCGGACGGGUGAGGAAUACAUCGGAAUCUACUUUUUCGUGGGUGAUAACGUAGGGCAACUUACGCUAAUACCGCAUACGACCUACGGGUGAAAGCAGGGGAUCUUCGGACCUUGCGCGAUUGAAUUAGCCGAUGUCGGAUUAGCUAGUUGGCGGGGUAAAGGCCCACCAAGGCGACGAUCCGUAGCUGGUCUGAGAGGAUGAUCAGCCACACUGGAACUGAGACACGGUCCAGACUCCUACGGGAGGCAGCAGUGGGGAAUAUUGGACAAUGGGCGCAAGCCUGAUCCAGCCAUACCGCGUGGGUGAAGAAGGCCUUCGGGUUGUAAAGCCCUUUUGUUGGGAAAGAAAAGCAGCAGGUUAAUACCCCGCUGUUCUGACGGUACCCAAAGAAUAAGCACCGGCUAACUUCGUG